rnacentral:rRNA from 1 species
GAUGAACGCUGGCGGCGUGCCUAAUACAUGCAAGUCGAGCGAACAGACGAGGAGCUUGCUCCUCUGACGUUAGCGGCGGACGGGUGAGUAACACGUGGAUAACCUACCUAUAAGACUGGGAUAACUUCGGGAAACCGGAGCUAAUACCGGAUAAUAUAUUGAACCGCAUGGUUCAAUAGUGAAAGACGGUUUUGCUGUCACUUAUAGAUGGAUCCGCGCCGCAUUAGCUAGUUGGUAAGGUAACGGCUUACCAAGGCAACGAUGCGUAGCCGACCUGAGAGGGUGAUCGGCCACACUGGAACUGAGACACGGUCCAGACUCCUACGGGAGGCAGCAGUAGGGAAUCUUCCGCAAUGGGCGAAAGCUUGACGGAGCAACGCCGCGUGAGUGAUGAAGGUCUUCGGAUCGUAAAACUCUGUUAUUAGGGAAGAACAACUGUGUAAGUAACUAUGCACGUCUUGACGGUACCUAAUCAGAAAGCCACGGCUAACUACGUG